rnacentral:rRNA from 1 species
AUUGAACGCUGGCGGCAUGCCUAAUACAUGCAAGUCGAGCGGAUAGAGGGAGCUUGUGCCUGGAUGCAGCGGCGGACGGGUGGGUAAUGAACAGGUAGCUGCCCGGCAGUUGGGGAUAAGGUCCGGUCACGGGCGCUAAUAUCACAUCGGUUCAGAGGGAGAACGGGGGGGUUCUUCGGAGAUAGCGGUUCCUGCUGACCCUAGGUCGGAUUAGCUAGUUGGUGGGGUAAAGGCCUACCAAGGCGACGAUCCGUAACUGAUCUGAGAGGAUGAUCAGUCACACUGGAACUGAGACACGGUCCAGACUCCUACGGGAGGCAGCAGUAGGGAAUAUUGCACAAUGGGCGAAAGCCUGAUCCAGCCAUGCCGCGUGUGUGAAGAAGGUCUUCGGAUUGUAAAGCACUUUAAGUUGGGAGGAAGAGCAGUGAGUUAAUACCUGGCUGUCUUGACGUUACCAACAGAGUAAGCCCCGGCUAACUUCGUG